rnacentral:tRNA from 1 species
GAGCCGUUAGCUCAGUUGGGAGAGCAUCUGACUUUUAAUCAGAGGGUCGUGGGUUCGAUCCCCACACGGCUCA